CCCUUUAAAAAGCCUGGAAAAGCAAGUCUGGCUUGAAUACACUCAGUAAGGAUACCUGAAUUCUGACCAUUUGUUCUGACAUAAUAUCCAAUAUUACCAACACCAGCUAAUACGCUGUUUCUGACACCCUACAGAAGUGGAACCUCAAUGCUGAGAUUUCAUAGCUGCCUAAAGGACUGCAACCUCCAAGCCCCAUCCAUUUAUCUGCAGUGGAGAAUUUCAGAGUAACGUACAGCUGGGUAGGAUGGGCUGGGGCAGGCAGAACAAGGAUUACAACAGUAAGAUUACUAUCUUUUGAUCUGCCAAGUUUAAUGAAGUUUACAGAGGCAGCAAAACCAGAAAUGGAAGGAAAGUUUUGAGUAAGUGCUGAAAAGUGAAACACAGACAUCCCCAACCUAUAGGAUCAGGUAUAUAGCCUACAUACAUCCUGACUGCUGGGUGACAUUAAAUACAGGUAGACACCACUGACUCCCAACUGCUUGCUUACAUGGGCAGAGCGUGGAGGAUGAUGUUCUUCAACACCUCGUUUACUUUAGAUGCAGGGGUCUAGUCCACUAUUUCCAGCUAUUGUGUCAUAUAAACAUCUUGAACUCUUUCAGACUCCAGGGUUGAGUUUGGGGCAUCAGAACUCAGCGUCUCUAAUGGUUAUGAGUAUUUGUCUCAUUUCAGCUUAAAAUAUAUUCAUG